UUUUAAGUGUAUACAGGAUGGCACGAGUGGAAGAUGUGUAAGGAGUUGUAGCGCUAAAGGACUCAAAUAACAAUGGGAUGAGUAAUGCACCCAUUAUUGAGAGCAAAACUUGAAUCUCAGUCAAUGGAGGACGCAUUCACAAAUUUCUCAAGUGAUUCGUGAAUACCGGAAAACUGCUUAUCGAGUGCCAAUGGCGGUUUUGGCAUCAGAAGCAUUAUGCACUUACAAGCACAUACGCAGGAAAGAGAAUAUUGAUGAACAAUGGUUUUUGGAAGCAAAUGAAGCAUUUUUGGAAGUAUCGGGCUUAAAGAGAAAAUUUAGGAAAAGCUAGAAGUUUUGACAGUGCAAUCGAUCGCAUUAAACCUGUGCUCGAGCGCACUUCCAAAGAGUUCCAAGCCAAGAAGUGAGUAUAAGGCGUGCGCUCGCACUCACAAGAAGAAGGCUCGAUCGCAAACUUGUGAUUAAGAGCACACGGGCACGAUCGAGUGCACCCAUGCGUGAAGAACAAGGCAGCAGCUACCCUAUUCUAGAAAGUGCCUUUUUCCACCCCAACUAGGGUUUUCAAAGUCCUAGGUGAACAAAGACUCAAAACCUACGAUUUUUAGGGUUUUUAGAGUGUUUUUAAGGCCUAUAAAUAGACCCUUAAGCCUAUAGAAUAGACACACAAUUUCAAGGAGAAGAAUUGGAGUCUCUUCAAGCUCAAGUUUUCGGGUUUAUUCUUUUUCUUUUUAUUUUAUUUUAUGAAGAUGUUUAAUAUCAAACUCAUGUGUAACUAAACUCCUUAGUAGGGCUAGAAUAAAGCUCUAAUUGCGUUUCUUUAAUAUAUCAAUAUUGGCACCUUUAUGAUAAUCAUAUUGUGAUGCUUAACUUGAUUAAUUCA